GAUGAACGCUGGCGGCGUGCCUAAUACAUGCAAGUCGAGCGAACGGACGAGAAGCUUGCUUCUCUGAUGUUAGCGGCGGACGGGUGAGUAACACGUGGAUAACCUACCUAUAAGACUGGGAUAACUUCGGGAAACCGGAGCUAAUACCGGAUAAUCUUUUGAACCGCAUGGUUCAAAAGUGAAAGACGGUCUUGCUGUCACUUAUAGCUGGAUCCGCGCUGCAUUAGCUAGUUGGUAAGGUAACGGCUUACCAAGGCAACGAUGCAUAGACGACCUGAGAGGGUGAUCGGCCACACUGGAACUGAGACACGGUCCAGAGUCCUACGGGAGGCAGCAGUAGGGAAUGUUACGCAAUGGGCGAAAGCCUGACGGAGCAACGCGGCGUGAGUGAUGAAGGUCUUCGGAUCGUAAAACUCUGUUAUGAGGGAAGAACAGAUGUGUAAGUAACUGUGCACAGCUUGACGGUAACUAAUCAGAAAGCCACGGCUAACUACGUG
rnacentral:rRNA from 1 species